rnacentral:lncRNA from 1 species
CCACCCAGGUGGCCGUCAAGGUCGCCAUGAGGCGCCUAUGACAGAACGUAGGGCCGCGGGGUGAGCGUUCGUGAGGACGCGCGCAGGCUGCGCCCGAGUGGGGAAUAAAGACUUCCGUGUCCCUGUCCUCUGGUGUCGCCGCUGAGAGGCGACCGCCGUGCUGAAGCCACGGAAAACACCGGGACCCUGACGAGGGCGGGCGGGGAGGGAAGAAGUGCUUCUUCCCUCCUCUCCGGUUCCCUCACCGCGGGCGGCCUUGUACACCCUGAGUUCAGUGGGCUGUGCGUCAGGAUUGAGGCUUUCUUGGAUUUUGGCUGUCCACGUCACUCAGAAAACAGGCAGGGGCCUCUUUGUGAACAUGAGAUCAGCCUACUGUGGGGAGCUCCAGGCCAGCCAGAACUACAAACAAGACCUAGAGGACAUGUAACCAUAAAGAGACUCAACACUCAGGAGGCAGAGGCAGGCAGACCUCUGUGAGUCUGAGUCCAGCCUGGUCUACAAAGCAAGUACCCUGACAGCCAGAACUACAAAGAGAAACCUUGUCUGGAAGAAGAGGAGGGGCAGAGCUGUCCUUAACAAUCCUGUCCUGGGAUGACAAAUCAAGGACAACCUGUGACACCUAGUGAAAGCCUAUGAAAAGGACAAAAGGGGAGCUGGAGAGAAGGUAGUUAAGGUCACUGACUGCUCUUGCAGGGGACUGGGUUUUGAUUCCCAGACUUCAUAUACAAACUAGAGUUUGAGAGGAUCUCUAGCCCAGUGGUGGAGGCGCACACCUUUAAUCCCAGCAGUACACCCCUAUUCCCGAGGCAGAUCUCUGUAAGUUCAAAGCCAGCCUGGUCUACAGAGAUAGUUCCAGGACAGCCUCCAAAGCCACAGAGAAAUCCUGUCUCAAAUAAAUAAUAAGUAUGCUGGAUCUGUAUAUGCUAUGGUUUAAUCUACAGUACACUUUAAAUACUUUUCUACUUUCAACUUUCAGGCAGAAGU